AAUAUUGGACAAUGGGCGAAAGCCUGAUCCAGCCAUGCCGCGUGUGCGAAGAAGGUCUUCGGAUUGUAAAGUACUUUAAGUUGGGAGGAAGGGUUGUAGAUUAAUACUCUUCAAUUUUGACGUUAUCGACAGAAUAACCACCGGCUCACUUUGAGCCAGCAGCCGUGGUAAUACGAAGGGUGCAAACGUUAAUCGGAAUUACUGGGCGUAAAGCGCACGUAGGUGGUUCGUUAAGUUGAAUGUGAAAGCCCCGGGCUCAACCUGGGAACUGCAUCCAAAACUGGCGAGCUAGAGUACGGUAGAGGGUGGUGGAAUUUCCUGUGUAGCGGUGAAAUGCGUAGAUAUAGGAAGGAACACCAGUGGCGAAGGCGACCACCUGGACUGAUACUGACACUGAGGUGCGAAAGCGUGGGUAGCAAACAGG
rnacentral:rRNA from 1 species